rnacentral:rRNA from 1 species
AAGGCGCUUGAGAGAACUCGGGUGAAGGAACUAGGCAAAAUGGUGCCGUAACUUCGGGAGAAGGCACGCUGACACGUAGGUGAAGUGAUUUACUCACGGAGCUGAAGUCAGUCGAAGAUACCAGCUGGCUGCAACUGUUUAUUAAAAACACAGCACUGUGCAAACACGAAAGUGGACGUAUACGGUGUGACGCCUGCCCGGUGCCGGAAGGUUAAUUGAUGGGGUCAGCGCAAGCGAAGCUCCUGAUCGAAGCCCCGGUAAACGGCGGCCGUAACUAUAACGGUCCUAAGGUAGCGAAAUUCCUUGUCGGGUAAGUUCCGACCUGCACGAAUGGCGUAAUGAUGGCCAGGCUGUCUCCACCCGAGACUCAGUGAAAUUGAACUCGCUGUGAAGAUGCAGUGUACCCGCGGCAAGACGGAAAGACCCCGUGAACCUUUACUAUAGCUUGACACUGAACAUUGAGCCUUGAUGUGUAGGAUAGGUGGGAGGCUUUGAAGUGUGGACGCCAGUCUGCAUGGAGCCGACCUUGAAAUACCACCCUUUAAUGUUUGAUGUUCUAACGUGGACCCGUUACCCGGGUUGCGGACAGUGUCUGGUGGGUAGUUUGACUGGGGCGGUCUCCUCCUAAAGAGUAACGGAGGAGCACGAAGGUUGGCUAAUCCUGGUCGGACAUCAGGAGGUUAGUGCAAUGGCAUAAGCCAGCUUGACUGCGAGCGUGACGGCGCGAGCAGGUGCGAAAGCAGGUCAUAGUGAUCCGGUGGUUCUGAAUGGAAGGGCCAUCGCUCAACGGAUAAAAGGUACUCCGGGGAUAACAGGCUGAUACCGCCCAAGAGUUCAUAUCGACGGCGGUGUUUGGCACCUCGAUGUCGGCUCAUCACAUCCUGGGGCUGAAGUAGGUCCCAAGGGUAUGGCUGUUCGCCAUUUAAAGUGGUACGCGAGCUGGGUUUAGAACGUCGUGAGACAGUUCGGUCCCUAUCUGCCGUGGGCGCUGGAGAACUGAGGGGGGCUGCUCCUAGUACGAGAGGACCGGAGUGGACGCAUCACUGGUGUUCGGGUUGUCAUGCCAAUGGCACUGCCCGGUAGCUAAAUGCGGAAGAGAUAAGUGCUGAAAGCAUCUAAGCACGAAACUUGCCCCGAGAUGAGUUCUCCCUGAGACUUUAGGUCUCCUGAAGGAACGUUGAAGACGACGACGUUGAUAGGCCGGGUGUGUAAGCGCAGCGAUGCGUUGAGCUAACCGGUACUAAUGAACCGUGAGGCUUAACCUUACAACGCCG